CUUCAUCGUCGGUUGGUAGGGGUGGGCAAAAAAUCCGAACCGAACCGAUCGAACCGAACCGACUGAACCGAAACCGAUUUGAACCAAACCAAAGUCCAUUUCAAAUCAUUCGGUUGAAGAGUUUUCCAACCCGAAUGGUUCAGUUCAAUUCGGUUUAAACUGAACCGAACCGAUAAACCGAAGUGUUUUUAUAAUUAUUUAAAUUAAAAAUAUUAGUGAUAUCAAGAUAUUAAAAUCCUAAGACUUAGCCCAAGUAAUUUUCUUUUGCACGAAGGAAAUCCUAAUAUAAUUUGAUUUCCAUGACACUUCGUCUAACUUUUGUAAUAUUUGUCAUUAAGCCCACAUAAUUUCCAUAUUAAUUGUUAUAAAGUUAUAAACUAUAUUUGUAACUUUUAAAAACAUUUUUAUUUGGUUUAAUAUUGAAUUUAAUUUACAUACUUAAUUUUUUAUUAUGACCAACGCGAUUAUUUCAUGACAAUCAUACAUUUAUGUAUUAAAACAUGAUUUCUUGUACAAUAAAUAAACUAAGAGAAAUCUGAUUAAACCGAAUCGAACCGAAAUACAAACUGAAUCGAAUACAAACCGAACCGAAUAUAAACCGAACCGAACAUAACUGAACCGAAAUCAAUCCAAACCAAACUAACUAUGGUUUACUUCAGCUGGAAAAAUUCUAGAACCGAACUAACCAAACCGAACCGAACUCGAACCGAACCGAUAAAAUAACCGAAGUGCCCACCCCUAUCGGUUGGAAUCACUGCAAUUCACUGUUAUCACAACCCACACUCCAUCUUUCAAUUAUGUUCUUAACUCAUUCCUUGAUGGUUUCGUUUCAACUUCUUAUGUUUCUCCUCUUUUAUAAAAUUACCUCAUCGAAUUUUCCAUCCAAGCAAACUCUACAAUCUCCAUAGAAAAAAAAAAUCAAGCAAUGUCUUUCUAUCAAAGAGCCCUCAGCUACGUUAUGUUAUAUUGAAAUCCGGUUUAGGUUUCUGUGGAUGCAUUGUGCAAUGGGGAUUCAUUCAAAUUUUAAAGUUUUGGGGAUAGAAGAGCAAGCAAAUCCAUCUCUCUGAACCUGAAAGCAACAAGGAUGGGGAUGAUAAAAGUGAGGACACAACCAGAAGUCAGGACAGGGAAUGCGACAAAAUCAUCAUGGCAGCAACGGACGUGAAACCUCCAUCAAGCUCAUCACCUUUCCAUUAUAAAUAGAAUCUCCAUCAACAUCCGGUGGUGGUCUAAAAGAUACUGCCCGUCCCGAGAAAGCUUGUUGGGACGCGAGUGUGCACAAUGGGGUGUGGGAAACCGCUUUCUUCUCUGACAAAAUUUAAUCAGUUUCUCAUCUAUUAACCGAGAUGUGUGGGAUUUUGGUUUCCUUUAUGCACUCUGCAAGUAUCUGAAUCCUCACUUGGAGAUCAGGUGUUACGAGGCCUUUAUAUUGGAAUUGAUACUCAUCACAUUUCUACGACAAGCAAAACGGUUGAAGAACACACGGAUAUGCAAAAUGCAGCUGGCAGUCCCAUAAGGGUAUUGCAGGAGCGAACACAUUUGCGCAUGAAAGUGGAUUUCAUGAGGUCAGUUGACGCCUUCUCUUAUUGCAAAGAAUCAACAGAGCUACAGAUAAGUGGUAUCUUCAAGGAACCAAAGAUUAAGGAUUGGUUUCUCUCCUCUCUUGCUUUAUGUGGCGAGAGAGACUCCCUUACGCAGCUAAACCUAAAGAAGAGUUUGACUUGCUCUCUUCUCCUGCAUAUCCAAGAAAACCUUUACCUGGGUCCAUAAACGUAUUGCCUUUUGUGUCAAUGUGACAGGUCGAUAUUGACGCUUAGAGUUUUGUGGAUCCGAGUUUUGUGCAUUCGGUAAAAACUAAUUGGUAAAGUACAUCUUUAAGUUAAACUAGAAGAAGCUAUUUUUAAUCAUGUCUCGACUUGUGAUGCCAUUUUGUUUAUUAUCGGUUAAAUUACUGAAACAAAAGCAGCGAAGAGUUUUAUUUGUACAACAUUUUUCUUCAGAUUUUGUAAGGUGUAUUAGGAAUUAUAAAAAACAGGAGGUAGUUUUCUAUUUAUUUCAUAGUUGUAUAAUUGGCCAUUAGUUUGGUAAAGAACAAUAGAUGAAUCUGACUUCCAUACU